GGAACUUCGGAGAAAUAUUAACUUAUUAAAUUGGAUUUUUCUUGAGAUAUAUUUAGGAUUUCGAGACGACGAUAGGUUAAAAUAUGAUACCACCAGGUCGGAGGAGAUAACACUACAAAAUAUCCUAAAUAUAGAGUAGUCAGACGAAAAAAAAUGCCCCUAAAAAACUAAAAACCGGCCGCAUCCCCACUCUUCAAUAUUACAAUGUUGCACUGUUUAACCUAAGAAAAUGUCAAAGUAAAUACAUUGUCUUCUUCCCUUACAGAAAAAUAAGAAAAAUCAAAACACAAAUACUUCCUUGAUUCAAAAUUUACAACGCUCAAAUAAUAAAACGAAAAUGAAGAAAAACAGAUGUUCUUCAUUCUAUGCCAUAUGCUGGUGCUCGUUUAAUAACUUUUGAAUCAUCGUCUCCCCCUGGUAUAAGUCCCCACCCCCCUUAAUGUGAAUAUAUGAUACACCCGAG
rnacentral:lncRNA from 1 species